CAGUUUCGUACCACGUAAAUAACGUGGCACUCUAACAUAGGCUAUUUUAUCUGAAGAGUGCCACGUUAUUUACGUGGUACGAAACAC
rnacentral:miRNA from 1 species